rnacentral:lncRNA from 13 species
UUUCACCCUGAACCACCCCCACCACAGCCACUGUGGACACAGAUCUCUGGCUGAAUUCAGCACAUGAAGGAAUUUCUUCUCCGACCUUUUGAAAACCAGCUUCUAAUAAGUCCUUGCACUGGGGGAGACAGGGUCUUGCUCUGUUGCCUACACUGGAGUGCAGUGGCACAAUCAUAGAUCACCACAGCCUCGAACUCCUGGCUUCAAGCAAUCCUCUCACCUUCCUAGUAGCAAGAACUACAAGUACAAG